AGUGGGGAAUAUUGCACAAUGGGCGGAAGCCUGAUGCAGCCAUGCCGCGUGUGUGAAGAAGGCUUUCGGGUUGUAAAGCACUUUCAGUUGGGAGGAAAGGUUAACGGUUAAUACCCGUUAUCUGUGACGUUACCAACAGAAGAAGCACCGGCUAACUCCGUGCCAGCAGCCGCGGUAAUACGGAGGGUGCAAGCGUUAAUCGGAAUUACUGGGCGUAAAGCGCGCGUAGGUGGUUUGUUAAGCGAGAUGUGAAAGCCCCGGGCUCAACCUGGGAACUGCAUUUCGAACUGGCAGGCUAGAGUAUGGUAGAGGUAAGUGGAAUUUCCUGUGUAGCGGUGAAAUGCGUAGAUAUAGGAAGGAACACCAGUGGCGAAGGCGACUUACUGGACCAAUACUGACACUGAGGUGCGAAAGCGUGGGGAGCAAA
rnacentral:rRNA from 1 species